GCUUACAGCCAUGCUACCCUGAACAAGCCUGAUCUCAUCUGAUCUCGAAAGCUAAGCAAGGUCAGGCCUGGUUAGUACUUGGAUAGGAGACCACCUAGGAAGACCAGGUGCUGUAGGUG
rnacentral:rRNA from 1 species